GGGUGGGUGGCUCAGUGGUUAGAGCCUAGGUCCCGUAACUGAAAGGUUUCCAGUUCGAACCCAGUCAGAGGCA
rnacentral:tRNA from 1 species